GCGGCUGUAGCUCAGCGGAUAGAGCAUCUAUAUGACGAAUGGAAGGCGGUGAGUUCGACUCUCACCAGUCGCA
rnacentral:tRNA from 2 species